rnacentral:rRNA from 1 species
CGCGCAAUUGCCCAAUGUCMAAAAAAAACGAUGAGGCAGCGAAAAGAAAUAGAGCCGACAGUGCAUUUUGUAUUGUCGUUUUCAAUGGGGGAUAUUUAAACCCAUCCAAAAUCGAGUAACAAUUGGAGGACAAGUCUGGUGCCAGCACCCGCGGUAAUUCCAGCUCCAAAAGCGUAUAUUAAUGCUGUUGCUGUUAAA